rnacentral:lncRNA from 1 species
AAAUAUACGGGCAGUGGAGGAGGAGAAAAUGUGUAGACCCAGGGGCUAGUCUGUGAAAUGGGGAUAAAAUAAUCGUGAGCUUAUAAUGAAGAUUAAACAAAAUAAGGUGUGUUGGAAGUGGUAACUGGUGUUUAUUACUGGUUGGUAAAUAAAGAUAAUGGAAGUACAGUCACUCUAAAGGAUUAAAAAUUUCAACAGCCUCAAGGUGCUUCAGGGCAACACGAGUAAUAGGAAUUAAGACCUUCCAAAUGCUACCGAAAAGAGGUGCCUCAUUUUACUGAAAGCAACUUUCCCCACAUUGGAGAACCAGAUCCCCAGCCCUUUUCGCCCCGGCAUCACCUUGGUGAAACUUCAAGAAUGUGCCCAUACACAAAAGAGAAUUUGCUCCUCCUUCUGGGAAACUGCUUCCUCCGGGCCCCAUCGGGUUUGCCAGAACCAGCUGGAAAGUUCUGCAAUCUUAACUACUUCAGGACAUCAGAUCUGGUCAAGGUCCAGGCUAUAAGGUGUUAGCACCUAGGGGUGGACUGCAGUGGAGAGAGAGAGAGAGAAAAAAAAAGAGAGAGAAUGGGAGAGAGGGAGGGAGGGAGGCAGGGGGACCCCGUGUGUUCCGCAAAGUGCCUCUCUCCUGCACCCAGCCAUGAGUGUAUGAAAUAAUUCCUCCUUUGUCCACCAGCUGGCUUUCAAAGCUGUCGGGAUGAGCCUGCUGGACCUGUCUGGGAAGCUUGUUAAACUGCACCGAUGAACUCAUCCCUUCCCCAAAUCGUGCUGAUGACCUCAUCAUCUGCAGCUGUGUGCUCUGAGCUCACCCACCCUUCAGCUCCCAGGGGAUCACAUCUGGCGGGGGAGCCCUGGUACCUGGGGCGGGCACAUCUGGAGGUAACUCCCCUUGGAAAUGGAGGGCUUUGUGACCUCCUUUCACUCUUACCGACCACGCAGCCAAGUAGCAAAGGGGCUCUCAGCAAU